CUUGUUUCAUUUUUUUGGAACACACAACUACAAGCGCACGCUGUUGCCUGCGCGCGCUACACUUUUUCGCACUCGCACACAUACAAGCGCUCGGCACACCACACAUACGCACACACUGGCACAGGCGAACGCAUCGCCGCCGCAAAUGCGACAAGACUGCGGCGGCAUUUCCCAAAUUUUCUUAGCUUUUCAAAACGCGCCAGCGAGGACGCAGUGUAAAAGAGCAGCGUGUGAAAACGACGACGACGGACAAUGCGAAAUGCAAUUUGUGAGAACAGUGUGCCCGUAUGGUGCUGAACAAACAUACGUCCACAGCCCUGGUCUACAGGCAUGCACGCAAAGUGAUCGAUAACGUUGAUCGAAUAAAAUAAUCAAAUGGCAUGGAUGAAGAUGCUUAGUUUGUUGGCUUACUUAC
ensembl:ncRNA lncRNA:CR44991 long non-coding RNA:CR44991